rnacentral:rRNA from 1 species
GCUUGCUCCUUGGGUGGCGAGUGGCGGACGGGUGAGGAAUACAUCGGAAUCUACUUUUUCGUGGGGGAUAACGUAGGGAAACUUACGCUAAUACCGCAUACGACCUACGGGUGAAAGCAGGGGACCUUCGGGCCUUGCGCGAUUGAAUGAGCCGAUGUCGGAUUAGCUAGUUGGCGGGGUAAAGGCCCACCAAGGCGACGAUCCGUAGCUGGUCUGAGAGGAUGAUCAGCCACACUGGAACUGAGACACGGUCCAGACUCCUACGGGAGGCAGCAGUGGGGAAUAUUGGACAAUGGGCGCAAGCCUGAUCCAGCCAUACCGCGUGGGUGAAGAAGGCCUUCGGGUUGUAAAGCCCUUUUGUUGGGAAAGAAAUCCAGCCGGCUAAUACCUGGUUGGGAUGACGGUACCCAAAGAAUAAGCACCGGCUAACUUCGUGCCAGCAGCCGCGGUAAUACGAAGGGUGCAAGCGUUACUCGGAAUUACUGGGCGUAAAGCGUGCGUAGGUGGUUGUUUAAGUCUGUUGUGAAAGCCCUGGGCUCAACCUGGGAACUGCAGUGGAAACUGGAUAACUAGAGUGUGGUAGAGGGUAGCGGAAUUCCCGGU